UACAGAGGUCUCGAGCGUUAGGCGGAAUCACUGGGCUUAAAGCGUGUGUAGGCGGAUUGGUAAGUACUUUGUGAAAAUCCCACGGCUUAACCGUGGAACUGCUUGGUAUACUGCCAGUCUUGAGCCAGCUAGGGGCUACCGGAACAAAUGGUGGAGCGGUGAAAUGCGUAGAUAUCAUUUGGAACGCCAAUGGUGAAAACAGGUAGCUGGGGCUGUGCUGACGCUGAGACACGAAAGCCAGGGGAGCAAACGGG
rnacentral:rRNA from 1 species